GUUGAUCCAGAAUGCACAUAUUGCAGUCUUUGAAUUGAUGGGCUCUAUUCUAGAUAGAUGUUCCCAGUUACGCGAUCCUUUGUCAAGUUUUUUUCUCCCCGGCCUUCUAGUUCUAGUUGAAUGGUUGGCAUGUUGCCCAGAAAUUGCAGCGAGCAGUGAAGUGGAUGAUAAACAGGCAACUGCUAGAUCAAAAUUUUGGAACCUUUGCAUCUCCUUCUUCAAUAAGCUUUUGUCAAGUGGUUCUGUGUCUUUAGAUGAUGACGAGGAUGAAACUUGCUUUUUUAACCUCA
rnacentral:misc_RNA from 1 species